GUGCUCACUCAGGCAGCAGAUGUACUAAAACUGGAACGAUACAGAGAAGAUUAGCCUGACUUCUGCACAAGGAUGACACGCCAACUCAUGAAGCCUUCCAUAUUCUU
ensembl:snRNA U6 U6 spliceosomal RNA